CGAAAGCCUGACGGAGCAACGCCGCGUGAGGGAUGAAGGCCUUUGGGCUGUAAACCUCUUUUCUCAAGGAAGAAGAUCUGACGGUACUUGAGGAAUAAGCCACGGCUAAUUCCGUGCCAGCAGCCGCGGUAAUACGGGAGUGGCAAGCGUUAUCCGGAAUUAUUGGGCGUAAAGCGUCCGCAGGCGGCCGUUUAAGUCUGUUGUUAAAUCGUGGAGCUCAACUCCAUCACGGCAAUGGAAACUGUUCGGCUUGAGUAUGGUAGGGGCAGAGGGAAUUUCCGGUGUAGCGGUGAAAUGCGUAGAUAUCGGGAAGAACACCAGUGGCGAAAGCGCUCUGCUGGACCAUUACUGACGCUCAUGGACGAAAGCCAGGGGAGCGAAAGGGAUUAGAUACCCCUGUAGUCCUGGCCGUAAACGAUGAACACUAGAUGUUGGGGGAAUCGACCCCCUCGGUGUCGUAGCUAACGCGUUAAGUGUUCCGCCUGGGGAGUACGCACGCAAGUGUGAAACUCAAAGGAAUUGACGGGGGCCCGCACAAGCGGUGGAGUAUGUGGUUUAAUUCGAUGCAACGCGAAGAACCUUACCAAGGCUUGACAUCCUGCGAAUCUCCGAGAAAUUGGAGAGUGCCUUCGGGAACGCAGUGACAGGUGGUGCAUGGCUGUCGUCAGCUCGUGUCGUGAGAUGUUGGGUUAAGUCCCGCAACGAGCGCAACCCACGUUUUUAGUUGCCAGCAUUCAGUUGGGCACUCUAGAAAGACUGCCGGUGACAAACCGGAGGAAGGUGUGGACGACGUCAAGUCAUCAUGCCCCUUACGCCUUGGGCUACACACGUACUACAAUGCUGCGGACAAAGAGUAGCGAUCUUGCGAAAGUUAGCUAAUCUCGUAAACCGUGGCUCAGUUCAGAUCGUAGGCUGCAACUCGCCUACGUGAAGGAGGAAUCGCUAGUAAUCGCAGGUCAGCAUACUGCGGUGAAUACGUUCCCGGGCCUUGUACACACCGCUCGUCACACCAUGGAAGUUGGCCAUGCCCGAAGUCGUUACUCUAACCUUUUGGAAGAGGGCGCCGAAGGCAGGGCUGAUGACUGGGGUGAAGUCGUAACAAGGUAGCCGUAGCGGAAGCUGCGGCUGGAUCACCUCCUAA
rnacentral:rRNA from 1 species